GACGAACGCUGGCGGCGUGCUUAACACAUGCAAGUCGUACGGUAAGGCCCUUUCGGGGGUACACGAGUGGCGAACGGGUGAGUAACACGUGAGUAACCUGCCCACAACUUUGGGAUAACGCUAGGAAACUGGUGCUAAUACUGGAUAUGUGCUCCUGCUGCAUGGUGGGGGUUGGAAAGCUCCGGCGGUUGUGGAUGGACUCGCGGCCUAUCAGCUUGUUGGUGGGGUAGUGGCCUACCAAGGCGGCGACGGGUAGCCGGCCUGAGAGGGUGACCGGCCACAUUGGGACUGAGAGACGGCCCAGACCCCUACGGGAGGCAGCAGGGGGGAAGAUUGCACAAUGGGCGCAAGCCUGAUGCAGCAACGCCGCGGGCGGGAUGACGGCCUUCGGGUUGUAAACCGCUUUCAGCAGGGACGAAGCUUUUUGUGACGGUACCUGCAGAAGAAGCACCGGCUAACUACGUG
rnacentral:rRNA from 1 species